rnacentral:rRNA from 1 species
UACGAAGGGGGCUAGCGUUGUUCGGAAUUACUGGGCGUAAAGCGUGCGCAGGCGGUUCGUUGUGUCGGUGGUGAAAUCCCCGGGCUUAACCUGGGAAUGGCCAUGGAAACUGGCGAACUGGAGUGUGGCAGAGGGGGGUGGAAUUCCGCGUGUAGCAGUGAAAUGCGUAGAGAUGCGGAGGAACACCGAUGGCGAAGGCAGCCCCCUGGGCUAACACUGACGCUCAGGCACGAAAGCGUGGGGAGCAAACAGG